rnacentral:rRNA from 1 species
AUGGAGAUGGUGGUGGGCGCGUCGGAGGCGACGAUGAAGUCGCUGCUGAGCAAGCUGGGCGGGCUGCUGGCGCACGAGUACGCGCUCAUCCGCGGCGUGCGCGGCGACAUCCAGUACAUCAACGACGAGAUGGCAAGCAUGCAGGCCUUCCUCGGCGACCUCAGCAGCGCCGCCGCCGCCCCCCAGGGCCACGACCGCCGGAUGAGGGACUGGAUGAAGCAGAUCCGCGAUGUCACCUACGACAUCGAGGACUGCGUCGACGACUUCGCGCACCGCCUCUCCCACGACCCCGCCGCCGGCCGCGACGUCUGGUGUGUCUUCCUCUUCUCCACCGCCUACGAGAUCUGGACCUGGCGGCCUCGCCGCAGCAUCGCCUUCUCCAUCGCCGAGCUCAGGCUGCGCGCGCAGCAGAUCGGGGAGCGCCGGACCAGGUACGGCGUCGAGAACCCCAAGACCGUGGAGGGCGGCCCUCCCGCCGGGUUCCAGGCCGCCGACUACCAGCACACCGCCCUUGCGCUCAUUGGCACUAAGGAGCCCGUCGGAGUGGACGAUGAGAUGAAGGAUCUUGGCGAGUGGCUGGCAUUGCAGCAGCAGCCAGCCUCCUCAGAUCCUGCAUCCCAGACGGCCGCUCCAAAGCAAGACCAAGGCGUGUUGUCCAUCGUAGGCUUCGGUGGGGUUGGCAAGACGACCAUCGCCACCAAAUUGUACCAGAAAUACGGUGAUCAAUUUGACCGCCGGGCGACGGUCACCGUGUCGCAGGGCUCUGACAUUGACGCAAUACUGCAGACCAUACUCAGUCAAGUCAUGCCACGAUCCCAAGAUGAUGACGAGCAGCAAGGCAGCGGCCCCUGCGAGAAGAAUCGCCUCAUGGCUGCCAUUGGAACAGUAUGGGGCGCUAUUGUGCCCAAGGGCCGCAAGAACGACGAGUCGGGAGGUGGCAGCACCUCUCAGACAACAAAAGAUCAUCUCGACGAGCACUUGGGGAAAUACAGUUACUUGCUCCUAGUUGAUGAUGUGUGGUCUGCAACAAUGUGGGAGACGAUAAAGAAAUCAUUGCCUAAAAGUACAAAAGGCAGUAGAGUAAUAGUUACCACACGGUUUCAAGCUGUUGCCAGUGCGUGCAAAAAAGAUAAAGGAGAUCACAUUCAUAAAGUGGUGGUACUUAACAGGCACAAGUCUGAAGAAUUAUUCAGGACCGAAUCUGGAACUAGCGAGGACAAGCCUAAAGAAUUAUCCAUGACUGAAUUUGGAAGUGGCGAGGACAAACCUAAAGAAUUAUCCAGGACUGAAUCUAGAAAACAAAACCAGGAGAAAAUUCCACCUAGACUCUGGCAAAUGUGUGGGGGUCUACCAUUGGCCAUAGUUACCAUGGCUGGGCACGCCGCCUGCAACACAGAAAAACCGAUUGAAGAGUGGACUAAGCUUUGCAAUGCACUGGUGCCAGACUCCACGAAAGCUCUUGGCCAGGACGGAGUCACAAGGAUACUCAGUCACUGCUACAAUGAUAUGCCUGGUGAGAUCAAGACUUGCUCCUUGUAUCUAUGCAUAUUUCCAAAGGGUCGCAGGGUCAGCAGGAAGCGGCUGACAAGGCGAUGGCUAGCAGAGGGAUUUGUCAGCGAGAAGGAUGGGCUGAGUGCGGAAGAUGUUGCGGAGGCAUACUUCAAUUAUCUUGUACGGAGGAAGAUUAUACGGGCCGUGGAGCACAGCAGCAACGGCAAGGUGAAGAGCUACCAAGUCCAUGACAUGGUUCUUGAGUACAUCAUAUCCAAGGCAAGCGAGGAAAACUUUGUCACCGUGGUCGGCGGCCACUGGCUCAUUGCACCACCUAGCAACAAAGUCCGCCGGCUGUCCCUCCAAGGCGGUGACUCAAAAUACGAGAAAACAAUCGAGAGCAUGAAUUUAUCUCAUGUCCGAUCUCUGACCAUGUUUGGGAGCUUGACUCAACUGCCUUCUAAUUCACUGAAGUUUGGAAUUGUGCAAGUACUACACCUCGAAGGUUGCAAGGAUUUCAGACAGCAUCAUGCCAAGGAGAUAUGCAAGAUGCUUCUGCUCAAAUAUCUAAGCCUCCGAAGGACAGACAUCAACAAGAUUCCCAAAAAAAUUGGAAAGCUCCAGUAUCUGGAGACUCUUGACAUAAGAGAGACCAGUGUCACAGAGCUGCCAAACGCUGUCUGCCAGUUUGAAAGAGUGGAGAACAUACUUGGUGGGAACAAAAGAACACGGAAGGCACUGAAACUUCCCGAAGAUCUGAAGAAGAAAACAAUGAAAAGCCUCCGCAUACUGUCAGGUAUUGAGAUCGUCGACGGCCCAGCUGCAGUGGCAGACUUUCAUCAUCUGACAGAUCUAAGGAAGCUCACCAUUUACAAACUCAACAUCAAAAAGGGUGGCAAACUUUUUGAAGACCUGAGCUCCUCGAUCGAGUACCUUGGUGGCUAUUCUCUCCACACCCUGGUGAUCGAUGACGAGUCGUCUGAGUUUCUGAAAUCACUUGCUGCUCUCUCUUCCCCUCCAAAGUUUCUCAAUGCCCUCGAGUUGUCUGGCAAGCUGGUGGAGCUCCCAGGAUGGAUCACAGAGCUGGAAGCUCUGACGAAGCUGACCCUCUCUGUGACGGCGCUCACUGCCGAUGCUUUGCGCCGGUUGAGCAAGCUCAAGACAUUGUUCUCGCUCACAUUUUCGCUCACCGCAGCAAAGCCGGGCCCAGAAACAACCGCCAUCAUGGAGGAGAACAAAGAAAACUCUGAUGGGGAGAUCAUAGUUCCGGCUGGUGGAUUUGAGAACCUCAACCUUGCUUCUCAGCUCCUUGUGCACCGCUGCUGA